rnacentral:rRNA from 1 species
UUGAGUUUUAACCUUGCGGUCGUACUCCCCAGGCGGUGUGUUUAUCGGUUUCCUGCGACACUGAAAAUAAAUUUCCAACGUCUAACACACAUCGUUUACGGCAUGGACUACGAGGGUAUCUAAUCCUCUUCGCUACCCAUGCUUUCGUUCCUCAGUGUCAGUAAUGAUCCAGAAAGCUGCCUUCGCAAUUGGUAUUCUUUCUAAUAUCUACGAAUUUCACCUCUACACUAGAAAUUCUGCUUUCCUCUAUCAUACUCUAGCUGAAAAGUUUUGAUGGCAGUUCCAGAGUUAAGCUCUGGGAUUUCACCACCAACUUUUUCAACCACCUACGAACUCUUUAAGCCCAGUAAUUCCGAACUACGCUAGGUCCCUUCGUAUUACCGCGGCUGCUGGCACGAAGUUAGCCGGACCUUCUUAUUCGGGUACAGUCAUUUUCUUCCCCGACGAAAGAGCUUUACAACCCAAAGGCCUUCUUCACUCACGCGGCAUCGCUGCAUCAGAGUUUCCUCCAUUGUGCAAGAUUCCCCACUGCUGCCUCCCGUAGGAGUUUGGGCCGUGUCUCAGUCCCAAUGUGGCUGAUCAUCCUCUCAAAUCAGCUAUUGAUCAUAGUCUUGGUAGGCCAUUACCCUACCAACAAACUAAUCAAGUGCGGGCUCAUCCAAUGGUGCAUAAAGCUUUCUCCGUAAAGACUUAUCCGGUAUUAGCACAAGUUUCCUCGUGUUAUUCCAGGCCAAAGGGUAGAUACCCACAUGUUACUCACCCGUCUGCCACUAAGUAUUGCUACUUCGUUCGACUUGCAUGUGUUAGGCGUGCCGCCAGCGUACGUUCUGAGCCAGGAUCAAACUCU